UACGAAGGGGGCUAGCGUUGCUCGGAAUGACUGGGCGUAAAGGGCGCGUAGGCGGCGGUCACAGUCAGAUGUGAAAUUCCUGGGCUUAACCUGGGGGCUGCAUUUGAUACGUGGUUGCUUGAGUGGGGAAGAGGGUCGUGGAAUUCCCCAGUGUAGAGGUGAAAUUCGUAGAUAUUGGGAAGAACACCGGUGGCGAAGGCGGCUCACUGGCUCAUUUCUGACGCUCAGGCGCGACAGCGUGGGGAUCAAACAGG
rnacentral:rRNA from 1 species